rnacentral:lncRNA from 1 species
AUGUCCAUUGAGUCAAUGAUGCCAUCCAACCAUCUCGUCCUCUGUCGUCACCUUCUCCUCCCGCCUUCAGUCUUUCCCAGCAUCAGGGUCUUUUCCAGUGAGUCAGUUCUUCACAUCAGGUGGCCAAAAUAUUGGAGCUUUGUGGAUUUAGAAAAGGCCAAACUGCCAACCAAUUGCCAAAUUGCCAAUUUAGAGACCAAAUUGUCAAUAGCCGUUGGGUCAGAGAAAGCAAGGGAAUUCCAGAAAAACAUCUACUUCUGCUUCAUUGACUAUGCUUAAUGACUCUGUGAAUUACAACAAACUGUGGAAAUUCUUAAAGAGACGGGAAUACCAGACCAACUUACCUGCCUCCUGAGAAACCUGUAUGUAGGUCAAGAAUCAACAGUUAGAACUGGACAUGUAACAAAGGACUGGUUCAAAAGUGGGAAAGGAGUUCGUCAAAGCUUUCUGUUAUCAACCUGCUUAUUUAAUUUAUAUACAGAGUUCAUCAUGUGAAAUGCCAGGCUGGAUGAAGCACAGGCUGGAAUAAAAAUUUGGGGGAGAAAUAUCAACAACCUCAGAUAUGCAGAUGAUACCAUCCUAAUGGAAGAAAAUGAAGAGGAACUAAAGAGCCUCUUGAUAAAGGUGAAAUAGGAGAAUUAAAAAGCUCACCUAAAACUCAAUAUUCAAAAAACUAAGAUCAUGGCAUCCAGUCCCAUAACUUCAUGGGAAAUAGAUGGGGAAAAAGUGAAAACAGUGGCAUAUUUUAUUUUCUUGGGCUCCAAAAUCAUUGUGGACAAUAUCAGAAGCCAUGAAAUUAAAAGAUGCUUUCCACUUGGAAGGAAAGCUAUGACAAACCUGUGUGUGUGUUAACUCGCUUCAGUUGUGUCUGAUUCUGCGACCAUAUGGACUGUAGCCCACCAGGCUCCUCUGUCCAUGGGAUUCUCCAGGCAACAAUACCGGAGUGGGUUGCCAUGCUCUCCUCCAGUGAAUCUUCCCAAUAAAGUACUAUAAAUUCCUGUAAAAAUACUACUAUUCUACAUCUAUACAAUGGAAAUAUCACACAAAAGGUACCUUUAACACAAGGUUUCUUGUUAAUACGGUUUAAUAACUCACAGAGUAAUGGAAGAGGCACCUUGAUGGAUCUUGUUAUUGUCUUAGAUUCUCAUCUGAUGUUUUAUUUCAUACAUUUGUUAAGAUUUUUCAAUCAUGUACCCAGGUAGGCCAUCAUUACCAGAAAUUAAUACUACAUUUAAAUAUAACCUUUCCUAUUCAAUCUAAAUGCAAAUAAAAUGAGCAUGGUAUGAUAUUCUAUUAGGGACUAGUGGCACUGUGACAGGCUUAGUGAAUUCUAUGAAUGUAGAGACUUUAGCAUCUAGAUUAUAACACACUGAUAAAGGUAUAGCCCAAGCUUUAACUAUUAAUGCUAAAUGGAUACCUACUACUUUCAAACCAUAUUAGCUCAGUUAAGAUUAUGAUAAAAGUUUCUUACUAUUGUUCAAUGCUUCAUUAAUAGAUUAGAUCAAACUGUACAUAUAAUUUAAAAGUUUAAAUGGACUAUGUGUUCUAAUCAAACACUGUAUUACCUUGUUCAAAAGGACAAAGCCCAAGAAAUACUAAUGUCUACCAAAGUAUAUGCUUAGAGAAAAAUAUUUAAAGAAUGAAUAACUAAAGAUCAUUAUAUAUUAAUCAUUAUAUAUUAAUAAAGGAAAAGCUGGACGUGAGAAAGCUUGGUGCAAGGGGACUAUAUUGCAUUAUAAUGUACCAUUGCCUUUGGAAAAGAAUUUUGGUUACCCCAUUUCACAGAAAACUGUUUGGAUUUCAAUAACCACACCCACUGAUUAACGGACUGUGGGAGAGCUGCCAAGGGACUACUCUGUGGCCAGACUUCUUGUAUCUGGGAAUCCUGCUUAUUAGAAAACUUGAUCAAAUGGACUAUUUUUCCUCAAUCUUAUAAAAUACUUCUUGAAGUCACUUUCCAAUUUAUUUGUGUUAUAAUCAAUGAUUUAAACACAACCUCUAAUUAUCGGCUAGAAGUUCCAUUUUCAGGAUGUUUAGCACAUAUAGAUCAUUUAUAUAAGAAAGGAACCACAUACUAUUGCUCUCCUGUAAAAGAACAAUUGUUGCAGACUCAAAUGUUAAUUCCUACUUUACCUGUCCCCGAUAUUAGUUUACCAUUAGAACUCCUACAUAAAAUCCUAGAAGAAGCAAAAGAAUUACAGAUUUAUAAAAAGAAUUUAUAAAUAAGCAUCACUCUACUUUAUUAGAACAUUUUAUUGUUACUAUUACUGCAGCUAACAAAUUAAUGGAUGUAGGUAUUAAUGUCCAAAAGCAUACUUCUCAUUCUCGGUGGGACAUUUUCUUUUCUCAGUCUCCCACUGAGCCAUAUUGUUUUCUGCAUUGUUUAACUCACUGUUGAUGAUCUUGAUUGUAUUGUUCUUAUUAACCAUAUGGAAAUGUUAUCUAUCUUAAUGCAUUACGAAAACUGCUAGAGAGACCUUUCCUUAUUCUUCUGCUCUUCAGUCUAAACAAUGCUGAGGCUGAAUGUUGGGGAAAGUAAUAGAAGUAGUCUUGUUCAGACUUCAGAGGAAAUGAUAGGCCUUGACUGAACAGAGACCUCGAAAGGAGUUACACAACAAGCUGCUAAUCAGCAGAAAUGGUGAAAGUAGUUUUGGGGAACUAACAAAUAAGGAAGGGAAUAAGUCACAAGGAAUGGAAUGAGUUACGAAGUUUCCUGAGCCUUGAGAAUCUGGCCAGCUCCCAGGGAUCAGUGAACAUUCUGAGACAUGACUAGCGAUACCAGCAUUUAGCUUAUUAGUCAGAACUGUAUAUUUACAUGAUGAUUAUCAGCUUGCAGUUUGGCAAUAAAAGUAGGACUCCUUUGGACGGCACCUUGAAGUCUCACGUGUGGGUGGACACAUGCCUGGGACUUCUCAAUUGAGGACUCCAGAGUGCUAUUCCAGGGUCUUCCAGCAUUGCCUGAAUCUGGAUGUAGGUAUGUCCCCAGUUUGGUGAUGUAUAUAUUUGUUUCUUGCUAUACUACUUGUGGAUCUUCCAACUGGUACUCCAAACUGGAUCUAGAUGUAGAAGCUUUUCUAAUUUGGUGAUAUAUGUUUGUGUGUGUGUGUGUGUGUAUAUAUAUAUAUACACACACACACACAUGUAUUUCUUGUGGCAAUGUAUAUGUGUGUGUGUUAGUCACUUGGUCAUGUCUGAGUCUUUGCGAUCCCAUGGACUGGAGCCUGCCAGGUUCCAUGAAAUUCUCUAGGCAAGAAUACUGGAGUGAGUUGCCAUUCCCUUCUCCAGGAAACUUCCCAACCCAGGGAUCGAACCCAGGUCUCCUGCAUUGCAGGCAUUUUCUUUACUCAGUCUCCCACUGAGCCAUAUUGUUUUCUGCAUUGUUUAACUCACUGUUGAUGAUCUUGAUUGUAUUGUUCUUAUUAACCAUAUGGAAAUGUUAUCUAUCUUAAUGCAUUACGAAAACUGCUAGAGAGACCUUUCCUUAUUCUUCUGCUCUUCAGUCUAAACAAUGCUGAGGCUGAAUGUUGGGGAAAGUAAUAGAAGUAGUCUUGUUCAGACUUCAGAGGAAAUGAUAGGCCUUGACUGAACAGAGACCUCGAAAGGAGUUACACAACAAGCUGCUAAUCAGCAGAAAUGGUGAAAGUAGUUUUGGGGAACUAACAAAUAAGGAAGGGAAUAAGUCACAAGGAAUGGAAUGAGUUACGAAGUUUCCUGAGCCUUGAGAAUCUGGCCAGCUCCCAGGGAUCAGUGAACAUUCUGAGACAUGACUAGCGAUACCAGCAUUUAGCUUAUUAGUCAGAACUGUAUAUUUACAUGAUGAUUAUCAGCUUGCAGUUUGGCAAUAAAAGUAGGACUCCUUUGGACGGCACCUUGAAGUCUCACGUGUGGGUGGACACAUGCCUGGGACUUCUCAAUUGAGGACUCCAGAGUGCUAUUCCAGGGUCUUCCAGCAUUGCCUGAAUCUGGAUGUAGGUAUGUCCCCAGUUUGGUGAUGUAUAUAUUUGUUUCUUGCUAUACUACUUGUGGAUCUUCCAACUGGUACUCCAAACUGGAUCUAGAUGUAGAAGCUUUUCUAAUUUGGUGAUAUAUGUUUGUGUGUGUGUGUGUGUAU